rnacentral:rRNA from 1 species
UACGGAGGAUGCAAGCGUUAUCCGGAUUUAUUGGGUUUAAAGGGUCCGCAGGCGGACCAAUAAGUCAGGGGUGAAAUCCGGCAGCUUAACUGUCGAAUUGCCUUUGAAACUGUUGGUCUUGAAUAAGAAUGAAGCAGCUGGAAUGUGUGGUGUAGCGGUGAAAUGCAUAGAUAUCACACAGAACAUCGAUAGCGAAGGCAGGUUGCUAAUUCUUUAUUGACGCUGAGGGACGAAAGCGUGGGGAGCAAACAGG